rnacentral:lncRNA from 1 species
ACAAAAACAACUAUUGAUAAAAAUAAGGAGAGGUACUCUAAUAGAUGUUUACAAAUGAUUAUAAAGCUAAACAAUUAAAACAUGUUCAUAGUGCCCCAAAAAAAGGACAACUGUGGAAUGAUAUUGGCUGCACAUAAACAGAACCUAAUUUAUGCCACAAUUAAUGAAAUUGAAAAUUUUGUUUACAAUAGCCCCCUCUUAUCCAUGGGAGAUAUGUUGCAAGGCACCCCAAAGGAUGCCUGAAGGCAUGUACCAAACUCUGUAUAUGCUAUGUUUUUCUACACAUACAAACAUAUGAUAUAGUUUAAUUUACAAAUUGUGCAGUCAUAGGUUAACAACAAUAACUAAUAAUAAAAUAGAACAAUUAUAACAAUAUACUGUAAUAAAAGUUAUGUAAAUGAGAUCUCUCUCUCUCUUUCUCUGUCUCUUUCUCUCUCCCCUCUUCUCAAAAUAUCUUAUUGUACUAAACACCUAUAUUUUCACACUGUGAUUGAUUGACCACCAGUAACUGAAACUGUGGAAAGUGAAACCAUCGAUAAGGGAGGACCACUGUAUUACAUUUCUAGGAAGUCGCAAACCCUUUGAGAAAAUUUUGGGAUGGGAGACAAACAUAUUUCUAAGAAGCCUUCAAUGUUACAGGUUAUAUUCUUCACUUCUUCAAAGUACAUAAGGGCCCACUCUACUCUUCUGGAGUCUAUCCAAAUUUGUAGGGUAAUGGGCUGUAGCUAAUGAGGAAUGGAACUCAGUGGGAUGUAAGGGGUCCGGAAACAAGUUUUUUGAAAUAUACUUGAUUGUCAUGACACCAAUAUGGAAUGAAAG